rnacentral:rRNA from 1 species
GUGACUGCGUACCUUUUGUAUAAUGGGUCAGCGACUUAUAUUCUGUAGCAAGGUUAACCGUAUAGGGGAGCCGCAGGGAAACCGAGUCUUAACUGGGCGUUAAGUUGCAGGGUAUAGACCCGAAACCCGGUGAUCUAGCCAUGGGCAGGUUGAAGGUUGGGUAACACUAACUGGAGGACCGAACCGACUAAUGUUGAAAAAUUAGCGGAUGACUUGUGGCUGGGGGUGAAAGGCCAAUCAAACCGGGAGAUAGCUGGUUCUCCCCGAAAGCUAUUUAGGUAGCGCCUCGUGAAUUCAUCUUCGGGGGUAGAGCACUGUUUCGGCUAGGGGGUCAUCCCGACUUACCAACCCGAUGCAAACUACGAAUACCGAAGAAUGUUAUCACGGGAGACACACGGCGGGUGCUAACGUCCGUCGUGAAGAGGGAAACAACCCAGACCGCCAGCUAAGGUCCCAAAGUCAUGGUUAAGUGGGAAACGAUGUGGGAAGGCACAGACAGCCAGGAUGUUGGCUUAGAAGCAGCCAUCAUUUAAAGAAAGCGUAAUAGCUCACUGGUCGAGUCGGCCUGCGCGGAAGAUGUAACGGGGCUAAACCAUGCACCGAAGCUGCGGCAGCGACGCUUAUGCGUUGUUGGGUAGGGGAGCGUUCUGUAAGCCUGCGAAGGUGACCUGUGAGGGUUGCUGGAGGUAUCAGAAGUGCGAAUGCUGACAUAAGUAACGAUAAAGCGGGUGAAAAGCCCGCUCGCCGGAAGACCAAGGGUUCCUGUCCAACGUUAAUCGGGGCAGGGUGAGUCGACCCCUAAGGCGAGGCCGAAAGGCGUAGUCGAUGGGAAACAGGUUAAUAUUCCUGUACUUGGUGUUACUGCGAAGGGGGGACGGAGAAGGCUAUGUUAGCCGGGCGACGGUUGUCCCGGUUUAAGCAUGUAGGCUGGUUAUCCAGGCAAAUCCGGAUAAUCAAGGCUGAGGUGUGAUGACGAGGCACUACGGUGCUGAAGUAACAAAUGCCCUGCUUCCAGGAAAAGCCUCUAAGCAUCAGGUAACACGAAAUCGUACCCCAAACCGACACAGGUGGUCAGGUAGAGAAUACCAAGGCGCUUGAGAGAACUCGGGUGAAGGAACUAGGCAAAAUGGUGCCGUAACUUCGGGAGAAGGCACGCUGGUGUGUAGGUGAAGUCCCUGCGGAUGGAGCUGAGACCAGUCGAAGAUACCAGCUGGCUGCAACUGUUUAUUAAAAACACAGCACUGUGCAAACACGAAAGUGGACGUAUACGGUGUGACGCCUGCCCGGUGCCGGAAGGUUAAUUGAUGGGGUUAUCCGUAAGGAGAAGCUCUUGAUCGAAGCCCCGGUAAACGGCGGCCGUAACUAUAACGGUCCUAAGGUAGCGAAAUUCCUUGUCGGGUAAGUUCCGACCUGCACGAAUGGCGUAAUGAUGGCCAGGCUGUCUCCACCCGAGACUCAGUGAAAUUGAACUCGCUGUGAAGAUGCAGUGUACCCGCGGCAAGACGGAAAGACCCCGUGAACCUUUACUAUAGCUUGACACUGAACAUUGAGCCUUGAUGUGUAGGAUAGGUGGGAGGCUUUGAAGCGUGGACGCCAGUCUGCGUGGAGCCAACCUUGAAAUACCACCCUUUAAUGUUUGAUGUUCUAACGUUGGCCCCUUAUCGGGGUUGCGGACAGUGUCUGGUGGGUAGUUUGACUGGGGCGGUCUCCUCCCAAAGCGUAACGGAGGAGCACGAAGGUUAGCUAAUCCUGGUCGGACAUCAGGAGGUUAGUGCAAUGGCAUAAGCUAGCUUGACUGCGAGCGUGACGGCGCGAGCAGGUGCGAAAGCAGGUCAUAGUGAUCCGGUGGUUCUGAAUGGAAGGGCCAUCGCUCAACGGAUAAAAGGUACUCCGGGGAUAACAGGCUGAUACCGCCCAAGAGUUCAUAUCGACGGCGGUGUUUGGCACCUCGAUGUCGGCUCAUCACAUCCUGGGGCUGAAGUAGGUCCCAAGGGUAUGGCUGUUCGCCAUUUAAAGUGGUACGCGAGCUGGGUUUAGAACGUCGUGAGACAGUUCGGUCCCUAUCUGCCGUGGGCGCUGGAGAAUUGAGGGGGGCUGCUCCUAGUACGAGAGGACCGGAGUGGACGCAUCACUGGUGUUCGGGUUGUCAUGCCAAUGGCACUGCCCGGUAGCUAAAUGCGGAAGAGAUAAGUGCUGAAAGCAUCUAAGCACGAAACUUGCCCCGAGAUGAGUUCUCCCUGAGACUUUAAGUCUCCUGAAGGAACGUUGAAGACGACGACGUUGAUAGGCCGGGUGUGUAAGCGCAGCGAUGCGUUGAGCUAACCGGUACUAAUGAACCGUGAGGCUUAACCUU